rnacentral:tRNA from 1 species
GGGCCUAUAGCUCAGUUGGUAGAGCCUCCGGCUCAUAACCGGUCGGUCCUAGGUUCGAGUCCUAGUGGGCCCACCA